rnacentral:lncRNA from 1 species
GGCAGAUUCCCAAAAUAAGUAAAUAUUUGCCUAGCAGAUGCAAGGAGAACGUUGUUCUCUAGAGAGAAACAGACACACAAACAACUGAGGACACUAUGGGACCUGGAGAUAGUUCUGCAUGGUUGGACACAGACACAGAGGAAAAGUGGAAAUUUGGGCAUCAGUGGAUUUGCGAAUGUCGGCUAGGCCACGCUUCGCUUCUUGACAUCUCCCUUCCUACUGUGUAACACAAAGGCUGUAUGAAGAUUCACUUUUCCUGAAAAGAUGGUGCAAAGAGAAUUCCAAGGUAAUAUAUGGACCAAGAGUGGAUACUGUUUCUAUCUCCUUUGCUGUUGCAGCCUUGGUAUACAUAUCAUCACUGUGGCAUGCAUAACAAAUAUUUGUUUAAAGAAUGAAUGAAUAAAUGAACAGCAAACUCUUUGAAGGAGGUACUUGUAUUCCUUAGCUGUGUCUACUGUCAUGCUGUGUAGCAAAUCAUCCCC